GCCUAUCCUUGAUUACUUGCA
rnacentral:miRNA from 1 species